rnacentral:rRNA from 1 species
GAUGAACGCUAGCGACAGGCCUAACACAUGCAAGUCGAGGGGCGAUCGGGGCGUAGCAAUACGCUGCCGGCGACCGGCGGAUGGGUGAGUAACGCGUAUGCAACCUACCUUCAGCAGGGGGAUAGCCCGUUGAAAGACGGAUUAAUACCCCAUAACACAGGGGCUCCGCAUGGAGAUUAUUGUUAAAGGGAUGCUUCCUUCGGGGAGUAUCCGGCUGCAGAUGGGCAUGCGUUCCAUUAGGUAGUUGGUUGAGGUAACGGCUCACCAAGCCUACGAUGGAUAGGGGAACUGAGAGGUUGGUCCCCCACACUGGUACUGAGACACGGACCAGACUCCUACGGGAGGCAGCAGUGAGGAAUCUUGGUCAAUGGACGGAAGUCUGAACCAGCCAUGUCGCGUGAAGGAGGACGGCCCUAAGGGUUGUAAACUUCUUUUGUAAGGGAAUAAAGUACACUACGUGUAGUGUUUUGUAUGUACCUUACGAAUAAGGAUCGGCUAACUCCGUG